UGAUCCUGGCUCAGGGUGAACGCUUGCGGAGUGCCUAAGGUAUGCAAGUCGAGCGAGACUACGCUCUUUACUGUGUAAUAAUCAUCUGUAACAAGUUAUCAAUUUUUUGAAGAAUAAGAUUAUUCUCUCAAAUAUAUUACAUAAUAAUGAGCGUAGUAGAGCGGCGAACGAGUGAGUAACACGUGGCUAACUUGCCCAACAAACAGGAAUAACUCUGAGAAAUCAGAGCUAAUACCUGAUAGCAUGAUGAAGUUUCAAGCAACAUCAUUAAAGGCUUUAAACAAGCUUGCUUGUUUAUUGUGUUGUUGGAGAGGGCCGCGACUUAUCAGCUUGUUGGUGAGGUAAUGGCUCACCAAGGCGAUGACGAGUAGCUGAUGUGAGAGCAUGAUCAGCCACGAGGGCACUGAGACACGGGCCCUACUCCUACGGGAGGCAGCAAUUAGGAAUCUUGCGCAAUGGGCGAAAGCCUGACGCAGCGACUCCGCGUGGAGGAUGAAAGCCUUCGGGUUGUAAACUCCUUUUAGUAUGGGAAUAAGACAUGAAGGUACCAUACAAAUAAGCACCUGCUAACUACGUGCCAGAAGCAUCGGUGAUACGUAGGGUGCUAGCGUUACCCGGAUUUAUUGGGCGUAAAGAGACGCGUAGGCAUUUCAGCCAGUCUGAUGUUAAAGAUCCCGGCUUAACUGGGAAAAUGCAUCGGACACUACUGAAAUUGAGGGAGGGAGAGGUAAGCGGAACGUUAGAGGAAGCGGUUAAAUGUGUUGAUCUCUAACGGAACACCAAUGGCGAAGGCAGCUUACUGGCCCUUUCCAGACGCUGAGGCUCGAAACCCUGGAUAGCGAAGCGGAUUAGAUACCCGUGUAGUCCAGGGCGUAAACGAUGCCCGCUAGAUGUUCGUUCAUGCACUAAUUUUUUCUAUGAAAAAAUUAAUGCUGAGGGAGUGUCGUAGUUAACACGUUAAGCGGGCCGCCUGGGGUGUACGGUCGCAAGGCUGAAACUCAAAGGAAUUGGCGGGGACCCGCACAAGCAGCGGAGCGCGUGGUUUAAUCCGAGGGUAAUCGUAAAACUUACCAACUCUUGACAUGUAUCUGCACGUCCUAAGAAAUUAGGAAAGCCUUCGAGGGUGAUACACAGGUGCUGCAUGGCCGUCGUCAGCUCGUGCCGUGAGGUCUACGGUUAAGUCCGGUAACGAGCGCAACCCCUAUCCUAUGUUAUACGUAUCUUAGGAAACUGCCGCGGUCAAACGCGGAGGAAGGAGGGGACGACGUCUGGUCGUCAUGGCCCUUAUGAGUUGGGCUACACACGCGCUACAAUGGUCUGUACAAUGGGGAGCGACCCAGCAAUGGUAAGCAAAUCCUUAAAGCAGAUCUUAGUUCGGAUUGAAGGCUGGAACUCGCCUUCAUGAAGUUGGAGUUGCUAGUAAUCGCGAAUCAGCAAUGUCGCGGUGAAUACGUUCUCGGGUCUUGCA
rnacentral:rRNA from 1 species